UUAUGAAAGACCAGUAGUAAAGUUACUGUUGAGUUGACUGAUUCAGAACCCCUAUAAAUUAAAUUAUUAAUUUUAAGGAUUUUUUAAUUAAAUAAAUUUUUUUUUGUAAAAAAAAAAUAAAAUAGUUUGUCGAAUUUCCGAGGACUAUUUUACUAUAAAACUACUGAAAGACAGUGCGAAUGAAUUUCAGUAUCGGGUUUCUUUUCUUCUUGACGAUUCUCGGCGUAGUUGUCCACGGAUAUCCCGUGAGCGACCCCGAUGCCGCAUUUGAAAACAUGAGACAGAUACCUCAAUGGCACUGUCUACGUUACCGGAAAUUUGACUUAGUACGACGUUGUAGAAAUUAUCGUCUGUCAAGAAAACACUGACAUACCAGGAUCAAGCUGGCUGGUAUACCUUACAACAUAUCAUUCCAGUUACCUAUAAGAUCUACUUAAUGUUUCAGAUAAAAUUUUC